UUGCAGUUAAAAAGCUCGUAGUUGGAUUUCUGGCAGCGUGACUCCGGCCGGCAUGACGUCGGGUCCAGAGCGCGCUACCAUCCUUCUGUCAGCCUUCGCGGGAUUUGUUUCCCGCCCUGGGGCUCAGAUAUUUUACCUUGAGAAAAUUAGAGUGUUUCAGGCAGGCUUUCGCCGGAAUACAUUAGCAUGGAAUAAUAGAAAAGGACUUCAACCUCUUCUGUUGGUCUGAGAGGCUGUAGUAAUGAUUAAU
rnacentral:rRNA from 1 species